rnacentral:rRNA from 1 species
UCAAGUUAUUAAGGGUGCAGGGCGGAUGCCUUGGCACUAGGAGCCGAUGAAGGACGUGAUAAGCUGCGAUAAGCUUCGGGGAGUUGCACGUAAACUUUGAUCCGAAGAUUUCCGAAUGAGGAAACUCACUUAGAGUAAUGUCUAAGUAUCAUUAAGUGAAUACAUAGCUUAAUGAGGGGAACUCAGGGAACUGAAACAUCUAAGUACCUGAAGGAAGAGAAAGAAAUUCGAUUCCGUAAGUAGCGGCGAGCGAACGCGGAUUAGCCCAAACCAAUAAAGUUUUCUUUAUUGGGGUUGCGGACAUAUCAUAACGAAGAGGUAUCGUAAUUGAAGAGGUUUGGAAAGACCCACCACAGAAGGUAAUAGUCCUGUAUGUUAAACGAGAAGACUUUAGAUAUGAUCCAGAGUACCACGGGACACGUGAAACCCUGUGGGAAGCAGGAGGGACCACCCUCCAAGGCUAAAUACUACCUAGUGACCGAUAGCGUAUAGUACCGUGAGGGAAAGGUGAAAAGAACCCCGGGAGGGGAGUGAAAUAGAACCUGAAACCUGCACUUACAAGCUGUGGAAGCACAUUUCUUGUGUGACCGCGUACUUUUUGUAGAACGGGCCAACGAGUUACGUUAAGUAGCAAGGUUAAGCACUUAAGGUGCGGAGCCGUAGCGAAAGCGAGUUUUAACUGAGCGUUCAGUUACUUGACGUAGACCCGAAACCGGGCGACCUACCCAUGAGCAGGAUGAAGCGAAAGUAAAAUUUCGUGGAGGUCCGAACCCACGAGCGUUGAAAAGCUCGGGGAUGACUUGUGGGUAGCGGUGAAAUUCCAAUCGAGCCCGGAGAUAGCUGGUUCUCCCCGAAAUAGCUUUAGGGCUAGCCUCAAGGUGAGAGAUACGGAGGUAGAGCACUGAAUGUCCUAGGGGGUAUUGCACCUACCGAAGACUAUCAAACUCCGAAUGCCGUCAUCUUAUACUUGGGAGUCAGACUGUGGGUGAUAAGAUUCAUAGUCGAAAGGGCAACAGCCCAGAUCGUCAGCUAAGGUCCUAAAUGUAAGUUAAGUGGUAAAGGAUGUGGGAUUGCACAGACAACCAGGAUGUUGGCUUAGAAGCAGCCACUCAUUCAAAGAGUGCGUAAUAGCUCACUGGUCGAGUGAUCCUGCGCCGAAGAUUUCCGGGGCUAAAACUUACUACGAAGCUACGGCAUCAGUAAUGAUGGGUAGGGGAGCUUCCCAUACGGGUUGAAGCAUGACCGUAAGGACAUGUGGACAGUAUGGGAGUGAGAAUGUUGGCAUGAGUAGCGAGAUGUGGGUGAGAAUCCCACAGGCCGUAAAACCCAAGGUUUCCAGGGGAAGGUUCGUCCGCCCUGGGUUAGUCGGGACCUAAGCUGAGGCCGAAAGGCGUAGGUGAUGGACAACAGGUUGAUAUUCCUGUACUACCGAUAACCGUUUGAGAGAAGGGAAUGACACAGUAGGAUAAGCUAAGCACACUGUUGGUUAUGUGUGCCCAAGCAUUGAGGCAGUCAAAGUAGGCAAAUCCGCUUGAUAAUGCUGGGAUGUGAUGGGGAGCGAAAUUUAGUAGCGAAGUAGCUGAUUUCACACUGUCAAGAAAGUCUCUAUCGAGGUUAAAGGUACCCGUACCGCAAACCGACACAGGUGGGUGAGGAGAGUAUCCUAAGGCCAGCGAGAGAACUGUUGUUAAGGAACUCGCAAAAUGACCCCGUAACUUAGGGAUAAGGGUGCCACCAUCAGGUGGCCGCAGAGAAUAGGCCCAAGCGACUGUUUACCAAAACAUAGGUUUCUGCUAAGUCGCAAGACGAUGUAUAGGAGCUGACGCCUGCCCGGUGCUGGAGGUUAAGGGGAUCUGUUAGAGCAAUCGAAGCAGUGAACUUAAGCCCCAGUAAACGGCGGCCGUAACUAUAACGGUCCUAAGGUAGCGAAAUUCCUUGUCGGGUAAGUUC